rnacentral:rRNA from 1 species
UACGGAGGGGGCUAGCGUUGCUCGGAAUGACUGGGCGUAAAGGGCGCGUAGGCGGCUCAUACAGUCAGAUGUGAAAUUCCUGGGCUUAACCUGGGGGCUGCAUUUGAUACGUGUGGGCUUGAGUGGGGAAGAGGGUCGUGGAAUUCCCAGUGUAGAGGUGAAAUUCGUAGAUAUUGGGAAGAACACCGGUGGCGAAGGCGGCGACCUGGUCCUUGACUGACGCUGAGGCGCGAAAGCGUGGGGAGCGAACAGG